UGGGGAAUAUUGCACAAUGGGCGCAAGCCUGAUGCAGCCAUGCCGCGUGUGUGAAGAAGGCCUUCGGGUUGUAAAGCACUUUCAGCGGGGAGGAAGGCGUUAAGGUUAAUAACCUUGGCGAUUGACGUUACCCGCAGAAGAAGCACCGGCUAACUCCGUGCCAGCAGCCGCGGUAAUACGGAGGGUGCAAGCGUUAUUCGGAAUUACUGGGCGUAAAGCGCACGCAGGCGGUCUGUCAAGUCGGAUGUGAAAUCCCCGGGCUCAACCUGGGAACUGCCUUUGAAACUGGCAGGCUAGAGUCUUGUAGAGGGGGGUAGAAUUCCAGGUGUAGCGGUGAAAUGCGUAGAGAUCUGGAAGAAUACCGGUGGCGAAGGCGGCCCCCUGGACAAAGACUGACGCUAAGGUGCGAAAGCGUGGGGAGCAAACAGG
rnacentral:rRNA from 1 species